rnacentral:rRNA from 1 species
UACGUAGGGGGCAAGCGUUGUCCGGAUUUAUUGGGCGUAAAGAGCUCGUAGGCGGUUCGUCGCGUCGGCUGUGAAAACCUGAGGCUCAACCUCAGGCCUGCAGUCGAUACGGGCGGACUUGAGUACUGCAGGGGAGACUGGAAGUUCCUGGUGUAGCGGUGAAAUGCGCAGAUAUCAGGAGGAACACCGGUGGCGAAGGCGGGUCUCUGGGCAGUAACUGACACUGAGGAGCGAAAGCGUGGGGAGCGAACAGG